AGAGUUUGAUCCUGGCUCAGGAUGAACGCUGGCGGCGUGCCUAACACAUGCAAGUCGAACGGAGUUUGCAUUAGGAAGUCUUCGGAUGGAAUAAUGUAAACUUAGUGGCGGACGGGUGAGUAACGCGUGGGCAACCUGCCUUAUACAGGGGAUAACAGUUGGAAACGACUGCUAAUACCGCAUAAGCGCACAGCACCGCAUGGUGCAGUGUGAAAAGGAGCAAUCCGGUAUAAGAUGGGCCCGCGUCUGAUUAGCUAGUUGGUAGGGUAACGGCCUACCAAGGCGACGAUCAGUAGCCGGCUUGAGAGAGUGACCGGCCACAUUGGGACUGAGACACGGCCCAAACUCCUACGGGAGGCAGCAGUGGGGGAUAUUGCACAAUGGGGGAAACCCUGAUGCAGCGACGCCGCGUGAGUGAAGAAGUACUUCGGUAUGUAAAGCUCUAUCAGCAGGGACGAAGAAUGACGGUACCUGACUAAGAAGCCCCGGCUAACUACGUGCCAGCAGCCGCGGUAAUACGUAGGGGGCAAGCGUUAUCCGGAUUUACUGGGUGUAAAGGGAGCGUAGACGGUGACGUAAGUCAGAUGUGAAAGCCCAGGGCUCAACUCUGGGACUGCAUUUGAAACUAUGUUGCUAGAGUGCAGGAGAGGUAAGUGGAAUUCCUAGUGUAGCGGUGAAAUGCGUAGAUAUUAGGAGGAACACCAGUGGCGAAGGCGGCUUACUGGACUGUAACUGACGUUGAGGCUCGAAAGCGUGGGGAG
rnacentral:rRNA from 1 species